rnacentral:lncRNA from 1 species
AAAAUAGAUAAAACAGUAUGAUGAAUCCCUGUGUACCUGGCUUGAACAAUGAACAAGCUCAUGGCUGAUCUUCCUUUCCACUUUGUGCCCUUUGGAAGCUAAUCCAUGAAAUCAUAGCAUUUCAACCUUAGCUUAAGUGACUGUCAGAGCAGAGUGCUAUUCUGAGGGUUUCCUAAAACACAGGAUGGGCCCAGGCCUUACUUUCCAGGUGACAUCUAAGCUGUUGCCUCCUUCAGCUUUCAAAUGCCAUAGUUUUCAAACUUUGGCCUCAGCUGCUGCCGCCACUCCCUGACUUACUAAGCUUCUGGAUUCUUUUGAGGGAAUUUGGGCUGCUAACAAUCCUUGAAAACUACUACUGAAGCUGGGUGGAUGCCUUAGCUUUUGGCAAAUUAAAGUGCCGCUUGGCCACGUUC